UCUUUCCACCUGGCUAUUAAGGGGUGAUAAAUUAAUCUACUGCAGUGUACAUGUUGCUUGUCUCACAACAGGAGAUUACCACAGACUGAUAAGAUCUUGUUUGCUUUAUAUUUAGAAUCUCUACCAAGAGGUCAGCCAACGAAAAUAAAGUCAGUGAACUACUUCUGGGGGCUGUGCAUGUACCACAAAAAGUAAUCCUUAACUUUUGGGUUUUUUUUUAUCAGAGUAACCUUUAAAAUUUAUGUGUAUCUAAAUGGAAUAAAAUCUUACUCUAGUACAGAAAUAGUUUCAACAUCCUAGAUGUAUCCUUCAUUAGCUGACUGUAAAUGACACAUUUGCCCAAGAAUAUCAAAAUUUCAAAUCUAAACAGGAAGUUCUUUGAGAGCAGGAUGGAGUUAUUUCACUACAAAGAAGUUUAUUUAUAUAGCUCUUUUUUACUAUGUGCAGUUUAUAUUUAACAUGGAAGUUUAAGAGUAAUGAAAAGAAUACAAAUGGUAUUCCCGUAUAGCACCAUAUGUGUAUAUUAAGUAUGGCAUACAUGAAUGAAUUGGGACCUUCGUUAUCAACGCAUUGUGUUCAAAGAAUACUUAAUGAAUCCAGCAGUUCAAAAACAUGUUUUGCAGUGAGACGAAUGGUGGCAAAUGAUGGCUUUGUGGCAGUUAGUGAAAAACUGUGGCAUUUUACACUGAUGGUGGCUAACAUUUACAGAAAAUUUCUCAACCAAUAGUGACAUUCAGUUGAAAGUAAUAGCAUAUCUUACACUGACUAUACAUCAGAAGAUUGUUGAAAAA
rnacentral:lncRNA from 1 species